ACACGACCGUACCGCAAACCGACACUGGUGCGCGAGAUGAGUAUUCUAAGGCGCUUGAGAGAACUCAGGAGAAGGAACUCGGCAAAUUGACACCGUAACUUCGGAAGAAGGUGUGCCUUUAGUAGGUGAACCUGUACAAGGGGAGCCCAAUGAGGUUGCAAAAAAUCGGUGGCUGCGACUGUUUAAUAAAAACACAGCACUCUGCAAACACGAAAGUGGACGUAUAGGGUGUGACGCCUGCCCGGUGCUGGAAGAUUAAAUGAUGGGGUGCAAGCUCUUGAUUGAAGUCCCAGUAAACGGCGGCCGUAACAAUAACGGUCCUAAGGUAGCGAAAUUCCUUGUCGGGUAAGUUCCGACCUGCACGAAUGGCGUAACGAUGGCCACACUGUCUCCUCCUGAGACUCAGCGAAGUUGAAAUGUUUGUGAUGAUGCAAUCUCCCCGCGGAAAGACGGAAAGACCCCAUGAACCUUUACUGUAGCUCUGUAUUGGACUUUGAACAGAUCUGUGUAGGAUAGGUGGGAGGCUUUGAAGUGUGGUCGCUAGAUCGCAUGGAGCCAACGUUGAAAUACCACCCUGGUGUGUUUGAGGUUCUAACCUAGGCCCGUAAUCCGGGUCGGGGACAGUGCAUGGUAGGCAGUUUGACUGGGGCGGUCUCCUCCCAAAGCGUAACGGAGGAGUUCGAAGGUACGCUAGGUACGGUCGGACAUCGUGCUAAUAGUGCAAUGGCAUAAGCGUGCUUAACUGCGAGACUGACAAGUCGAGCAGAUGCGAAAGCAGGACAUAGUGAUCCGGUGGUUCUGUAUGGAAGGGCCAUCGCUCAACGGAUAAAAGGUACUCUGGGGAUAACAGGCUGAUACCGCCCAAGAGUUCAUAUCGACGGCGGUGUUUGGCACCUCGAUGUCGGCUCAUCUCAUCCUGGGGCUGUAGCCGGUCCCAAGGGUAUGGCUGUUCGCCAUUUAAAGAGGUACGUGAGCUGGGUUUAAAACGUCGUGAGACAGUUUGGUCCCUAUCUUCCGUGGGCGCUGCAGAUUUGAGGAAGCCUGCUCCUAGUACGAGAGGACCGGAGUGGACACACCUCUGGUGUAUCGGUUGUCACGCCAGUGGCAUUGCCGAGUAGCUAUGUGUGGAAGAGAUAACCGCUGAAAGCAUCUAAGCGGGAAACUCGUUUCAAGAUGAGAUCUGCCGGGGCCUUGAGCCCCCUAAAGAGUCGUUCAAGACCAGGACGUUGAUAGGUCGGGUGUGGAAGCGCAGUAAUGCGUUAAGCUAACCGAUACUAAUUGCUCGUGCGGCUUGACC
rnacentral:rRNA from 1 species